AAGCGUUAUCCGGAAUGAUUGGGCGUAAAGCGUCAGCAGGUGGCAGUUCAAGUCUGCUGUCAAAGACCGGGGCUUAACUUCGGAAAAGCAGUGGAAAGUGAACAGCUAGAGUAUGGUAGGGGCAGAGGGAAUUCCUGGUGUAGCGGUGAAAUGCGUAGAUAUCAGGAGGAACACCGGUGGCGAAAGCGCUCAUCUGGCCCAAUACUGACGCUGAGGCGCGAAAGCUAGGGGAGCAAACGGG
rnacentral:rRNA from 1 species